GACACGCUCAAUACGGAAGUGGUCCGAUAAAGCGGAUGCUAAGCUACAAGAGUGCUUAGCAAGCACAGACUGGAAUAUGUACCGGGAUUCAUCUGAUAACAUUGAGUAGUUCAUCACAUCAGUCACCGGCUUCAUUAAUAAGUGCAUCGACGAAGUGGUCCCAACAGUGACCUUAAGGACAUAUCCCAACCAAAAGCCAUGGAUUACAGGGCCUUGUCUCCAGUCUAGCCUGGGAGAAUGUGGUGUUUCCGGGUUCUGACCGUUCUGCCUGCCCUGACCCUGAGCCCGCCCUGGAUUACCGACCUCUGCCUGACCCCGCCUGCUGUUCCGGUGCCUUACACCCUCUCUGGAUUAUUGACCCCUGCCUACCUUGACCUGUUGUUUGCCUGUCCCUGUUUAAAGAAUAAACUUUGGUUUCUUCAA